rnacentral:lncRNA from 1 species
GUUUAUGAAAUAUAAAUGAAUUCUGUAUUUAAACUUGGGUCUCGUCCUCAAGAUAUUUCAUCACAGAUAUGGAAAUAUUCCGAAAUCUGAAAAAUAAAAUCCAAAAGUUGUACCACUGUGAUCUUCAGCACUUCAGAUAAGGGAUAUUCUCUGUACUUCCCACUGAAUCAAAUGUUGAUUCCGUUAAGAAACAAAGGCACGCCAAUUGCUCAACCCAGUUUCUAGCACCUAGCAAAUGCCGAAAGUGGAGUAUCCAAGGGGGCUUCAUGUCUCACUGCAUUGCUCUAUCUAGCAGAGAUUUUGUGAGAUGGACCUGGAGAGAAAAGGCCCGUGUAUGCUCCUGGCCUUGAGAGUUGCCCCAUCCUACUGUGAUGUCAUCAUUGGAACUACAGCCAGAGAUAUGAACUCCAACAACCAGUGACCCAGGCCCAGCUCCCACACAUUCUCAUCCCUAAUCACACACUGUGCCUAGGGCUUCUGCCUCCAUCCCACAAUCACGUGAACCCGUUAAGCCCAAGGCUCGUGUUCGGCAGUGACUUGGGGAAGCCAGCAUGUGUGUGAGCUUACCUCAAAGCAUCUCAUGUAUAUAUGUGCUCCCUCGCUUUUACUCCUGCCCCUGGACCACCAGCUCCAUGAGAAGGGGACACCGCCUGCAGUGUUCAUGCAACAGACCCAGCACACACCAUUUCAUUCGCAGGCCCUCGCUCACCAGGAGAUUAACCCAUCAGGCUGCUGCGUGAGAAGGGACAGAGCGGCUCCUGACAGGAGGCCCAUGAUGUGGGGGAAAUCAAAACAAAUCCACCUGCUGAAGGAAGAUGCUGAGGACGGCAGCCGUGCGGUGACCUCGUCCUCCUACGGAUGUUUGUAGGCAGUGUUAUCACCGCCACCGAUGUGGCACUGGGCUGUUUAUGACUUCCUGAUCACACUAUUUUUCACGACUGUGUCUGCAUGGCUGUUCAACGACUUUGUGUAACGGUGUCCUCUCAUUCUGAAUAAACCAUAGUGCCUGGAAGGCCAGGCAUGGUCUCCGUGUAUUUAUCUUGGCUUCUCAAAGGUUUGGGGAAGGGCCGGGGGGGGGGUUGCUUUCUGGGAUUUUGUUGUUUUGUUUUUGAAACUUAACUUUCAUGCCCCAAUGCUUAGGAAUGAAUAGGACAGAAGUGAAAUAUUAGAACGAUACGUGUGUUUAUGCACUUAGUCUCCGAUUCUGUACUUAUCUUGUCACAGAUGGGCAGCACAUACUGUGCCACCUCACACCCAUCUGUGAUCUAUGGUUUGAGGAGCACCUGGCAUCCCCAGGUCAGUGUGGGACACACUGACAUCUCUAUCUGCAACUGUUGAUUUCACAGACGGUAUAUGCAUAUUUGUGAGUACAUGCGUAUAUACAAAAUUUCUAUCCUACACACACAUUUACA